GCCACUGUAGCUCAGGGGCAGAGCUCUGGCUUUGUAAAUUAGGAGUCGUGCGUUCAAUCCUCACAGGAGGCA